AUGAAAUACUCUGCAAUGUGUCUUUAUCUUAAUGCUGAUUACUGCAACCCUUUGCUAUGCGGGCGGUCGAAAUAACAACCAUCGCCACCAAAAAUCAUAUGUAGAUACCCAAUAUGCGGAGCCGCAUAUCUUAGGAGCUGCCAGCCAUCCAGAGCAACAUCCAGGUGUAAAUGGAUAUACAGUCUAUUAUCCUUCCAUUCCAGUUUCCAAUCAUAUUAAUGACGGAGAUGAAUACCAUGACGAUUUACCAACUGGAGACAGUCCUGCAUACGAUUUCUACUCAGGCUAUAGCAUGGUUAGGAGCCAAUAAAUAAAAACAUAUUAUAUUUCUUUUACCUUGUUUACCCAGUUCUCAAUAUUUUUUUAAAUCGAUGUCACUAGGUACAAAAAAAUGUUAAUAAAAAAUCGAAUAAAAUAAUUAAUUCUAAGUAGUAUAUCAAUUUAUAAUUGCAUAAAUAUUGGGGAAGUUUCAUUACGUUUGCACUACGCGACUAGUUUUAAUUUUUUAAUUUUUUUUUCUUAAGGUACAACGUUCGAUUACGUUAUUAAAUUUCUAUUUAUUAAGUUCCUGAUCGGUUUUUAACGCAUAAACAAUAUAAAUUUUAUUGACUGCGGGUGUACGCUGUUAGAAUUCAGUUCGUUAAGAUGCAUUUAAAGACUUUCCUUGUUCUUUUUAUGCUUUUUAUUGUGGGAAAUCUGGCCAUGCCCGCACCUGAAGCGAAUCCAGACGCUAAUCCGGAAGCUUCGCCAGAUCCUAAACCAAAUCCAAAACCCUGGUUUUAUUUAGGAUGGGGACCUUAUUCGUGGGGCUGGGGUCCAUGGUACUGGCCCUACUACGGUGGUGCCAGAGUCAUCGUUACUCCCUAAUAAUAUAUAUUUAUUAAAAUUAUAUUAUGAUAAAAUAAAAAUCUAGUUUUUUAAAA